CCCGCAGCCACGGUGCGGGGACGGCUCCUGCUCGCCGUCUGCUGGGUGGUCGCCGAGGGCGCGGCGGCAGAACCAAAACGUUUUCGCUUCGGGGCUGCCUCAGCCGUUCUCUGCUCGUCUCUGCUUUCUUAGAAGCAUCACCAGGGGUUUGGGGUUUAAGACUGAAAUAACGCCUUGACCGUGUUUUGCACUUGGACUUUGAGUUGUUCUGAAUUGCUGUAGGGUGAAGUUUUAAUAACAAAAGUAUUAGACCCUCUGUGUAUUUUAUACAAGAAAAGUACGAGCCUGGCCGGGCCUAUGAAUAAAAGGAAAUCUGCAGCUGAAUCUAACAUUAGAGCUUCUUAAGGGAUAGAGUAAUUUAAAACCUACUAGAUUUAAAGUUUUUCUGCUAAUACAAUUUAUUGAUUUAUUCGUAAAGCUUGAAUAUCCCCACUUCUUACUUUGUGUGGUUAGAAAUGUGCAAGCUUAGGCACCGUUAUUUCUAAUCAAACCCAAUAAAAGGAAACAUGUAGAACUUUAAAACAUUGAUCAGGGAUGACACUGUGAAUGUUUUUAAUGGUUUGUGGCUUUUGUAUGUAAUAAAAAGCUUGAUCAUGACAAGACAGAA